CGCAGGCAAGAUGGCGGCCUCAGCAGAGCGGUGACUCUCCUCUUCCGCCCCACAAUGCACUGCGCCCCGCUCGAGCCGUUUGCUUCCCCCACCCCCGCCUUCGGAGUCGCGCCGGAGGAGCACGAAAGCACUCGUAGCUGGAAGCAGUAUAUGCAACAUGCUAAUUUUCUAUAGGCGGUGUGCAUGAAAGAACAUCAGCAGGCGCACAGAUAAGUAACUUUGUACUGUAUAUGGAGGGAAAGGUAUUUGGUACUGAUAGGUAAUUCUGUAUUGUCAACUCAUCAGCAGGAGAUUUGAAACAUCAUCCCACUUGUUAUAUUUCUCACAAAAUUCAAAAUAAUAAUUCACAAACUAAGGAAGAGCUGAACAAUUUUAUGAUUCUGUAGAACAAACUAUUAAAAAGUUAAUAUGGGCCACUAAGAUAAUCAGGUGUCAGAAUUUAUGAGCAUUAGUUUUCAAAAGGAAAAAAUAAUGGGAUGUAGCAAUUACAAAUGAGUUUUUGAAGUGCUUAUGUUGAUACUUGAUUGUUUUUUUCUGAUUCUUCUUCUAAGUGUGACCUGAUUUAAGUUCUAGAAAAGACAUUCAGACAAAAGGCAUACUUAAGGAAUAAGUUAUUCCUCCCGCUACUUUGAGCUAUUAAGUAAUAGUAAUAUUUGGAACAAAUAAGGGACUGCCAUAAGGUAUGCCCACAGAGCUGUAGAUAUCACUGAUUUUAUGGACUGGUAAGCACAUAUGGUAAAAAACUGGCUAAGAAUAUUCCUCAUCCUUUGGACUAUUGACUGGUGAAUAUCAGUGAUCUAAAAAUUAAAUGAUAAAUAAUGGAGGUGUUGGGUUUUUUUAGGCAUCCUUAACUAAUGCAGGUUUUGAGGACUUCUGUUUUUUUCAUAUUAAGCAUUGAGUGUUUUUCUGGUGUUACUGCAGAAUGGCUUGUGAUGUGUGAGACAGGGGAAGACCUGAUGUUUCAUCCUUGCUGCUUUAAUUUUUAUUGCAUGUUUAUUGGCAGUGUUUUAUGAUACUGCAGUCACAUACCCUUUCAACGGUAUCACUAUGGUGUCCUGUAAAAAUCUCUAACUGGUUUAGGAAGAAGAAUGUUGAAGAGAGAAUAUGUUUCAAGGGAGUUGAAACAAUACAUUUAUUAAUGGAGGGAAAGCAAGAGAAAAUGCUGGGCAUAAAAACAUGAAAAUAGGAAACUUGGCAAAUGGUAUAUGGCCUCCGUAUGAAGUUCUAAGUAAUGGCAUUUGGCAUUAUAGUUUUCAGAAGUUCCGAUGAAACACUUACAAAAAGAGAAAAUUAUCACUUUUUGACAAGGAGAGAAAUUUGGACUUUGAAUUAACAGUGAAGUAAAGGAGGAUAAUAGGUGUGAAUUGAAACUAAUUGGUGUUUCAGAUCAUUGAGCUGCUUGAAAAUAGCAUGUGUGGUGAGAACUGUAGAAGUUAAGUCUCUCUUAAAUGCCUAAUUAAGCACAGUUCUGUCCUGCAAAGGAGAGAAAAAAAUGUUAUGUGACUUGCUGCUUUGUACUGAACUGACUGAUUUAAAUGGACAGUCAGUCAAAAGAUUUAGCUUCUGUGUGGUAAAGGUCUCCUGAUUAGGCUGAUCUACUGGUCCGAGAAGGGGUGAUGCCCUGAGGCAUACAGCUAUGGGCAUAAAGAUGGGCACAGGUAUAAUCAAAGUUGUUCAGAAAACGUUGUGCAAAUCUGAACGAGCAGGUGGUUGGCACAACUGACGAGCAUUUUCAAGUGCGUGAUUAAUGUGGGUACAGAAGUCCUGUGGCUGGGUGUCUAAAUCGGCUCGCACCCUGUGGCCUGAUUUAAGCAUACACACAUAUGUGAGUUAGGAUAUGACAAAGACAUUAAAAAUGAAUUUUUCACUGGAGAAAUAUCCAUUGCAAAGCAUGGAUGAACCUCCCUUCUACUCCCUUGAAAAAGGGCUGACAGUUGAUUAAGCUUACGUAAAAUAAGUUGGACAAUUUGACAUGUAAGAUCCUUUGCUUUCCAACAAACUAUUGAGUUCGCUGGCCGCAAUCCAACAGAGAAAACAAAGUGUGCAGAAUAAACACUGUCUAUAGCAGGUGGAGGUAAUGCCUUAUUAUACACAAAUGCUGUUUUGUGUUGUGUAACCUGGGGACAAUUUAGCAGACAAUUUUGUACUUAGAAAAAUCAUGGUUUAUGCAGAAAAGGAGAACCACGGAUAAUGAAUUGUCUACAUCUGAAAAUACCACACUAGAUCUGAAACACAUGUCCUACCACAUUGUCUUAUGAUUUCAAAAGCAGAGGAAGGAAGAGAGAUUAUUAAAUUUAAUUUCACUCCCUCAUAUCACUUUAAAACAGAUGUUUAAAACCAAAAACUUAUUCUUUCUUUCCCAUGUUUAUUCUUAAAUGUUUUAGUACCAAUGUUUUGUCACUCAAGACCAAACAUACAAACAGUGGCCCUUAUUCACCAAGCAACUAAGAAAGAGCUAUUGUAAUGUUGUACAUGCAAACCUCAGUUUAACUGUAAAAAUAAAGUAAAAUAAAAUAGAAUCAAAUAAAAUAUCAAAUAAAAUGCAAACAAAACAAAACUCCACUGAGAGAAGCAUGGUCUUUAUGUGUGUACGUGUAUGUGCGCAGGUGCGGCUGGUUGGCUCCGGGGGAAGCUGAUCCCUGAGGCUUCCCUUCUCCAAUAGUUUUUUACCCUCAACUCCACACAAUCAAGUGCUGCUAUUUUCAAGAGAAUAUGGGUUAGCUGAGGUGUGAAUUAUACACUUAAGAAGCCGGGAAUCAUCUGAUUUAUUUUUUCAAGACUAAAGCAUACAGAAUUAUUUCUUCCGCAGUUCAGGUGGCUGUGAGCAAAAGGGAAACUCAUUAAAGUUUUCAGACCGCUGACAUUUUCUGCAAAUGGGUCAGUUGUCCUCACUUUCCUACAAAACUGGAAAGGCAAAAUAAUGUGAACGCCCAGGUAGUAGUAUGGAAUCCAACAAACUUGACUGGAGUACUAGAGCCUACAUCGCAGCAUCACCAAUAGAUUACUGCAGUUCUGUGUUUCCAACUUUGAGAUAUAAAGGAAGAGGAAACAACUGGUUUCCUAUGCAACAUGUUUUGCUGACUUCAUCCAAUUUCAUAAUUAUCAGCAAUAGCACUUUUUCUUCCAAGUGAUUUAUAAAUACUGACUAAUUUGUUCUCACAGUUGCCACAACAAUCUGGAUUUUACUAUCUCAGACUAAAAAAUAUCACUGAAGACAAGGAAACAGAGUCAGUCAAAUAUUAAUCAAAGGGUUCAUUUCCUCUGUGAAGUCAGCCUCAAAAUGGCAUUAGAUCUCAUCCGGGCAGUCCUUAUUUCCAGUGUAUGCCUAGUCACUGGGCACUUGUUCACUUGCUCAUUUUCUGUGAAGCUGGUUUCUCUGGAACCUUAUUGCCAGAGGAGAGGAAAUUAAAAAAAAAAAAAAAAGAGAAAAAAGAAAAAGAAAAAAGAAGCUUUCCAUUGUUAGUGCAGCUGGUUUUUUAAGUUUACUUCAGCUUCAUUCACAUCCUUUUCAGUUAAUGUUUUGCUCUACGUAUAUUCAGGUGGAAAUGUUUAUAGAAAGGAUCUUUUCUUAAAAUUUAUGUCUGUCUUCUCAAGUGUGGAAUGUGUAAGUGUUAUCCAGAACUUUCCAUUCGGGCAAGUGCAAAAUAGCUACUCUUUUGUUCUCUGUGGCAUCACAGAAAAGAAAGAUGAAGGGAAUGAAUGAGACGACGGAGCCAUGCUCAGCCCACGCAGCCCCUGAUGCUCAUCAGAAGAUCUGGCAAAGGUGUCCAAGGUUAUGUUCUCCUUCACAGCCAGGGACACCUGGGUUGUACUUCUCGGAGACAGAGGUUUUCCCACUGCUCUCUCCUACCACAGCACGACUGUACCGUCACCCGCUCCACUUACGGCUCGUUGUCUCAGUUGAGCCUGCUGAUUGGAGUGGGACUGCUCGUGGAGAAGACACUCUUUGUAAGCACGGCUGGUAACAGAGGACAUGAGACGUGGUAGCGUUCCUUCAGAAAUCUUACCCGUUGGUACCAGAUCAGCCUAAUCCUAUUUGGUUGGUAAAGUCUCAUGGAAAUGUAACACGACAUAUGAUGAUGACAUUGAAAGUCUCAGAGUGGUUUUUGCUUGGACUGAUGUUCUAAAACCCCAUGGAGAAGUAUUUUUUUGUGUAUGUGGUGUGAGUUAACUCUGCAAGAAGAGUUUCAAACAAAAAUAAGCCCUUGAAAGCUUUUUUCUUGGCAAAUGUUUUCCAAAAUGUGACAUCUCCUGUGUGCAUAUCCAUGUGAACGCAUUGGGAUGUUUAGCAAUCCAAUUUCCAUUUUGCAUUGAAGCUCAUUUAAUAAUCACAAGAGCUUUAAUUUUUAAACAUUUGCUUAAAUUCAAAUAUUAAAUAUUAGUGAGAUUUUAAUCUGAAAAAAAUGUAAGAGCAGUUCUACUUUAAUUUUACUCCAACCUUGUGUUCACCUUGCAAUCCCUAUCACAUAGGGAAGCCUGAAACAUUAUUAGUAGCUAUAAUUUGUGACAAGCUUAUCUCUGAAGAACAUUUCAUGAAGUCCAAAAAUGUGACUUCCUAUUGUCCACAGGACAAAGAGUUAUACCUGUUCACUGGGGCAAGAGAUGGGGAUGGCUAUUAAGUAACAAUGUUUCAAGAUUUUAUAAAGCUACUGUAAAAGAUUCAAAGCAGCUAAAAUUUUUAAUGUUUAUGGAAUUUGUUCAGGACUUUAAAAUGGAAGGUGCCAUUUAAUUGAUGGCAUGCUAAUACAAAUUAGCGGUUUUCAGACCUUCUUCCUGAAAAAUGAGAUAUUCUUUAAUAAUUGACUGAAUUCUCCAGCACCCGCCACCUCUGAGACAUUGUAGGUUAUUGUCAAAAGAUGACCGGAAUACAGAGCCACUAAAUAUUUCAUCUUAAUGAUAAUGUAUGCUGCAAAAGGUUUGAACUUUAUAUUGAGCUUUGAAUUGACUUUUGAUAAAAGACAUACUGGAUUCUCUCUCUUUUUUUUUUUUUUUGCACAUUAACUUUGUGCCAGGAGCAGGGGGUCAAAGCUAGCAUUUAAAUUCAGACUUUUCUCUAUUUAUUGCUAGUAAAAUGGGAAUAUCAGGGGAUUUAUUUAUUUUUAUUGUAAUAUUUAAAAGUUGUCUGGAUCAAGUUCAACUAAUUAGGUGUGUUUUUAAAGAGAUGGACGGGAUAAAUGUCAAAAAUGUUGCCAGUCAGUUAUUUAAAUGAAGUAUGUCCUAUUCCACUGAAGUCAAAGGUAAUUUUACCAUCCCUAACACUUUGAAAGUUUUGUGCUGUACUCAGCCGUGCACCCAGCUGUGUCCUAUCCAGCUAUGUGCAUAUAUUAGUCAGAGAACAGGCAUUAAAUACCAGUGACAUAAGAGCUAAAUGUCUAUCAUAGUCAUAUGGGCUGUAGUUCAAGACAGCUUAAAAUAUGUUUCCUAAUUUUCAUGAUUGACUACAACACAAACCCAGGUAUUUCCUGGAUGUCUAGAGUUGUUUCUUCUUUUCUUUAUUUUUUAAAGUUAUUUCAGAAAAAAAGGUUUUGAAGCUUAACACGGACAGGUCUCACCAAGUUCUAUUUCAACAGCAUUUUACAGUCACAGUCCCAUUGUCCAAAGUUGCUUCUGUCUAUGAAGCAGCAAUUAAUUUAUGUGCAUUUUAAAAAAAAAAAAAAAAGUGAAGGCAAUCUUUACAGCUGUAGGUAUUUUUCCUGAUAUAUUGGUUUUUUUCCCCUUUUUAUUUAUUGUAUGUUUUUCACUGUUGAAUUUAAGUCUUACAAAUACACAAAGUUCUAUGCACGCUUUAAUAUAUUUUUCUUCAGUUUUUAAACUUUAAAAAAAGGUCCUGAUUAGUCUUGCAACAUAGCUAUAAUAACUUAACACUCACAUAGUUCUGUCUUUUGGAAGAAUUUCCGGGAAAAUGACUAUGAUCUCCACUGUUUAUAAAUAUGGGUAUUUGCUCUUAGACAGUAUUUUAGGGAAUUAGGCCUUGCAUUUGCCCCAGAUAAGAUGGUUAAUUAUGACUGUUUUAAAACAUAGCUAUCUUCAGGCAUUUACCCUGUGACGGUUUAUAACUUAGUAGAAUGGAAAAAUUAUACAGUUUUGUUAUGUUAUCGCAAGGUCUAAGUGCCAGUAAUGAUUUUUCGCUCCUUGAACUCUCUGUUUGAAAACUUCUUUUAAGACCGGUCCUGUUCAAAACAGAGAAAUGAGUUCAGAGUUUGAAAAAAAAAAAAAAAAAAAGGCAAUCCAAUGAUUUGUAUGCUCCAUGUCAUAUCUGCAUCUUUUCAGAAACCAGAAUAUGCUUUACUGCUACUUCCGUCAGAUGCCCACGUUGUUUUUGCACCAGCAAAACAGGACAAGACGGUUCUAGUGCAUUUUGUGCCUCAACUACAGAGCUCUGAGCCAUGGUGCAGCCACUUACGCUCAAGCAUCAAUGGGAGCAAAAUGCAUUCAACAACUUAUAGGCUUGAGCCUCGUGAAACAAAUAAAAUUUGGACUUUAAUCCCACCUUCAUUACAGCUGAUAUCAAAGUUUUUGCUGCCUGGAGUGGUACAGGAUGGCACAGAAAGCGGAAGUUUGGGACUGAAGGAUGAUGCCAAGGUCUAUGAGAGGUAAACAGGAAGUCUCAAUCAUGGAAGAAGAGGAGAAAUGGGAAAAAAAAAAUAACCUCAGAAAGCACAAAAUUUUGCUUGCCUUGCAAUACUUAACUGAAUGAAGCUUGGAAGCUACAAAUUUACUUGAUCAAGGCAAAAAAAAAAAAAAAAAGGAAUGGAGAAGAUGUCAAAACAGAUAAGCUGCAGCAGAUCAGUGGAUGUGCAGCUGCUGCAAUUAAGGUCUUUAAAGGGCAUGUGUUAAGUUGUAAAAGUUUGGAGUCAGAAAUGUUUAUUUUGCACAGUUAUUCAUUAUGCAGGGCGAUGAACUCGUAUAGCACUAUGCAAACAAGUGCAUUUUCUCGGUUGGUCCCAAACAUUGACAUGAGUGCUGCGGGUGGUGAAUUCCUUCAUUGCCUGGGGUCUGUGGGAACAGGGAGAGAGGGUCCUGCCUGCCUGUUCUCUGAGCAGUGGAAACGGAGUAUUUCUCGCUGUCACCAGCACAGUGACCGAGACCGAGUUCUUCUCCGCAUACCUUAAGAGAAGUCAUUUCUUACCUCUCCUUUCUGUCUGUGCUAUAUGUUAUACCCAACUGCAGAGCAAAGUAUGGUGCAGUAAUAACAUUCAUCAUAGUAUAUUAGUUGGGUACACACAUAUUACAUUCAAAUUGCCUUAAUAACUUUAAUCAAGUCUGUAAUUAAUGCAAAGCACUAAAGAAUGCAUUUAAAGCAUUAGCGCAUGGGUUUUGUUCAAGUGUAAGUGGUAGAAAGGAGAUUGAGGAGGAAGGCAGAAUCAAGAUUAAAUUCAAAGCUUCACUAAGUGAACAACUCCAGAUCUUCCAAAUAUUCCUCAGAUGUUUCAUUAUAACCGUUGACAGUAGUCCCAUUGCUUUUCUCGGGGUCAUUUGUAGAUUUGAAAGUGCAGCAAUGAAGCAUAAAGUAUCAGGAUGAAAAACAGGAGAGGGAAAAAUAGUCACCCCUUCCUUCAGCCCUCUGGCAAAUGCUGUUGGAUAUACUGAGCACGGCACGAAAGUCUCUCAUGAGAACUUUGUGCAAGGAAAUGCACCGUGUCUGUCACUAAAAGAAAAAAAGAAACAUGUCAUCACUCCAAGUGGAAUUGAUUAAAACAAUAAGGAUUUCCUGGUGCCAACAGUUGAAACAACUGUGUGAAAAGUAGUGAAGAGGUAUUACCGUAUUGUUGCAGCUUUCUCAGGGAAAUUUCCAAAUAAACCGAAGGAUUCCUGUCAAUAUUUGUACAAGGAAACAUGCUGCUGCCUGAUUCCGAGGCACUUCACACACAUGCGCACGCCCACACGCCCCCCUGCAUGCAAAAUUCUUGAGAAACUUUAUUACAGCCGCACACACAAAAAAAGGACACACUCAGAGUUUGGUGCACUCUUUCUCAUGCUAAUAUUGACAACAUCGAUCUCUUAUUGUCGGUAUUUGAUCUACAUUUCUCCCAGCUCCGGUCAAUGGAAGGCACAGCUGCUGAAAGCCCAUAUUGUGCAGGCAGCGUGCCUUUGUGUUCUGCAGCUGGGGAGUUCUCAUGUCCACAAUAGCAAGUCUGAGCACACCAAAUUAGGAAAGAUUAUUGUUUCAUUUAUUGACUACACAAGUUUAAAACAGCAAGUAUAUCGUUUGUUUCAUGUUUUAUUUGUUAGGGUCAUUUUCACCAAAAGCUGGGCACAUGGACACAAACAUAGGGCAGCUGUACUUCCAGCCACCCCAGUAGGAAGAAAAUUACAAACAUUAUUGAAAUGAAAUGGGAUGGUUGGUUGCUUUCAUGAGGCACAGCCUCCCACCUGCCUUCUCCCAGCCAUCCAUUUGUGACGACUUGCUGCAGGUUUUUUUUCAUCUUUUUGCAUCCAAGUUCCUUCCCGAUAAAGUGUUUAUCCUACUGUACAAUUCGUUUUAAGCGAAGCUGGUUUUACGGUGGAAGGGAAGACAAGCGAGUUCAAUUUUUGAGCUCAGUUCUCCAAAUGUUUCUUUCAUGGAAUGGUCUAUAGAAAAAGGAAGGCAGCAAUUUUAGCUGGAAGCAAAUAUCACUUUGGAGUAACAAAAAAAGGGAGGGGAGAAAAGAGAGGAAAAAUCUAUUUAACACUUUAGGACAUAAUGGUAUUCAAAUAAUAUAUUUUUCUGCCAUUUAUUCAGUUGUGAAGGAACUCAGUGAAUAAUAAUAGCUGCUGUCAAAGAUAUUUAUAUUUAAGAGGGUCUUUAUGUAAAAUCAUUUUUUUUAUCAGGAGUGAUUUUUCUCCAGGAGAAGUCUGCCAUCUCCUAGCAACCGAUAUGGCUAUCUUUUUUAACAGACGCUGCAAUAACAAUGGGUGCCUAACCUUUAUAUGGAAGCAUUUGCACAUGUACAAUCAGAACGCUUACGAAUUCAAACCGAGUUGUUAAAGUGCUCCAAGGGAGACACUGGGUACCACUUUAUCUACUAUGCAUCUCAUCUACCCAAGUUUUUAUAAUGGCAGCCAUUUUAGCUGUAGCCGAGUACCUCCCAAUGAGCUCCAAAACUAAAUCUGCAAAUCACCCGCACCUUAACUUCCCUCUCUCUUCUCUCACAGGAAACAAGGGGACUCAUUUCUCUGUUAAGGUUUUAUUUCCUUCUCUCUCUUUUUGAUUGUGUUGCUCCACUUGCGGAGCUGUAGUAUCACUUAAACUUGCUAGGUAAAGAACCCUUUUAAUUUAUAAGUGUAAACAAUAGAGCACAAAGAGCCGUAUCUGCAAAUGGAUAAUUAAUUUUAAAGGUAAAUCACUGUAAAUUAAGUGUCUCUGACUAAGGGUAGACUCUUCCACUUUCUCCAUUUGGCUGCCUGUGGGCUGUGCAGAUUCAGAAGAUUUGGACAAGGGGAAAAUCUGGCUACCUGUAGCAUGCCCACGCUCGUUUCAGUGAUUCACACCUGCACGCCUGGAGUUCGGUCUGGAUCAUGAACACCACAUAACACUGGGAAUGAGCUCUGUGAAAAAAAGAGUGGCCAUGCAAAAAACCAUGUAUGGUACCCCAGGAAACAUGAGAUCUAGCUUCUAGGCAGUCAGAGCUCUCUGGGAUGUCUCAGCUACUGCCCGAAGGCUGUUCCAUGACAUGUUUCAGUAAGGGGCCUUUCAAAUUUCUGCUGCUUUGCAAGAAUAUAAACAACUGUUGGCUUGGAAAGAGGGAGAAGCAGACUGAAUGAAUCUUUGGGACAUGUACCUGAUACAUGGCUUCUGUUCCUGCUCCUAGGGCUGUUAAUAUCUUCUUAGUAUCUUGAACCAUCCUUGAACAAAAUACAGGAACGGUAUCAGCAGCAAGCAUGUUGCUGGUGGUAGGAGCAAAUGAAACAAAAAGCCAUAUCAUUCUCAUCAACAGCAUGACCAAACUGAUGAUUUCUUAUCUGUAUACCACAAUGAGUAAACCAGAACCAAAUCAGAAAGAAAAUGAGGAACAAUUACAAGUAAAUAAAAUAAAACUUUUCCUUGAAAGCUCUUCUAUCAAUUAAUUAUAGCUAAACAUUGAACUCCAACCCUCCACCCCCAAUCCUGUAGCUCAAUCCCCUAUUUAGCAAAUUCAUAGGAAGCUGUGACAAAUCCCCAGGUGUGAUCAGAAACAGACCCUUCAUUAAGCUUCAGCAUCCUUCUCUGAUCCCAGUUUAUCUUCCUUCAUUCCGCCAUCAAUUCCAUUCAAAGUGAUACUUCAGAUUCAUAGCCUGAAAAUAAGUACUUUUUUUUUUCAUUUGUGGUUCACCCAACAUUUGGUUGAAAACCAAACCAUCUUAUAUAUGCAUUUUUUGGUCAAAAUGUUUGAAAGCUGGGGAAGAAAAUGGAAAACAUCCACUGUGGGAGAGAUUUUGCUUUCUUGUAUUACUAACAACGUUCUGGUUUUCCAUCUCAAAACUAAAGUUUUUACAAUCAAUCUGCUUUGUAUUCCCUUUGCCUUUUCUCUAAUUUUCAGCCAACUGCAAAUUCUUUUUGUAUACAUUUGGAUAUUCUUUGUUUAGUGGUUGAGCAUUUUUCAGAUCCUUCUUUUUGAAGCAACCUUCUGGAUCUUUCCUUUAAGUCAGAACAUAGAGCUUCUAUUUCUCAUUUUUAUACCUAUCUGCAGGCAUCUCCAGGUUGAUUUCGUGUGGUCUCUGCUUUUGCCACAACAUUUAGUAUUUUCCAUUAUUGAUGCUCUCUCCUUAAUUUCCACUGAUAAAUAAAACUAUUGUGUUUGUUUAUCUGCAACUUUGGGAUCACAAUUUAGACGUUUCCCUAUAACUUUACAUAUACAUAAAUAUUGUUUCUAACAUAUAUCAAUAGCUUUCAUCAGAAGGGCUGGAUGCUAGGUCACUGGAGUGCCUUGAGGAUGUAUCAAUACACACAGGUCUUGGACCUAGCGGUUCUCACUUUUAAAGUAUAUUUUAACUUUAGAAAUUUUUACAUAAAUUCCUGGUGGAAAAUAUGUGUCCCAGGAAAAAAAGAGAAAACUGCAAAAUCUUGGUGUCAGAGAAGUAAACAGUAGCCAGAGUUCUUUGAGAAUCUGAUGCGUGUCAUUUGAGUGCUUAACCACAAAUCUUUAAUUUAGUCCUACUAAGAGAAUUCAUUAAUUUUAGAUUAAUUUCAUUCACUACAUGAGUUAUAGAAUAAUAAAACUAGUGAAUAAUUUGCAGUGGAUAAUUUACUUCUAAAGUGCAUUUGACAAAUUUAGCCUCUUUUUCUGUUUGUGGAAUACCAAGCAGUGCUGACAGGCCUCUGUUUUGUAAGGCCAUGAGAUAAGACAGGAUGUCCUGGGUAAUGGGGAGCAGCUAUGACCUCCUGGGUACCAGCUCUUUGCUAUUACUAGCAACCACAUCAUGUAAUUCCUUUCAGAAAUUUAUCCAGUUUGAUCUUAAAAGUAGUUAACCUUCUAUCUUAUUUCUCUGGCAAUUAGAAACCUUCUAAUUUUCCAGUCUAAUCUUACCCAAGACUUUUUUUUUUUUUUUAAUCAUUCUUGAGUGAACUUUGGGUUUUCAGCUUUACUAGCUCUUUGUCUUCUCUGGUGUAUACUCAUUUCUCAGCAUCUGGUUUGCUAAAUUAAGCAAGCCUCAUCUAAAUCUUUCUAUUCCCUGGACCAUCCUAGGAACGCUUUUUUCCCAUCUAUUCAGAUUUCUUACUUUUCUUAGCAUUUAACUUAUUUCAGCUGUCUUUUCUAACUUCAGAGGUCAAUCGCAAGCAGUUGGUAGCUAUUUAAUAAUGAACAUUCAGUGUUGAUUGGUCUCAAGUAUUACUUUUAUUCAUAAUCUUUCUCUAAACCUUUCUUUUUAUUGUAGCUUACCUAAAAUCUAUUGAUUUUACAGGAUUCAAUGGGCUGAAUCCAACUCAUAAUAAAAGGCUAGAAAAUGUCCCAUUGUUUUCUCUAUUGGAAGUAUACUACUUGCAGAAUUACCAGACAAGUAAAAUAGGGUAAUUUUAGAACCGUUUAAAGAUUUUUUUUUCUGGGUCAUACACAUCUUGCCUAAGGUUAUUACUCUAGAAAUCAUCCUGUUUUAUUACAAAUUUAUGAUGGGUAAUGAUUCAAAAUAUACACAGUCUACCUUUCUAUGUCUAGCCUGUCCUGUGUCUAUUAAACCUUUUUUCAAUCCUUCUGCAUGUUCUUCUUCUUACCUGCUAUAAAAUUGCUAUGCGACAAGAGCUGGAUGAGUUAUUCCUGACUGAUUUCAAUAGUAUUUUGGUUUUGCUUAUAAAAUUAACUUCUUUGCCCUGUUACUUGCAUGUGUAGCUACUCUAUAAUUAGCUGUUUCCUUUUCAGACAUCCCAAGUGUCUCUACUUGAUUUCAAGCUGAGUGCAGCGCCUUGCAAUAAAUGAGGAAGAAGCUGCAAAGAGGAAAUGUGAUUUCUAGUGGCGAUCUUGUCAUUAGUAGAUCACAGCCCAAGGUAUGGUUUGCAUUUGGCUUAUUGGGCCACAGGGCAGGAGAAGGUUGUGGUGCUGAGCUGCAAACAUAGGAAGUAAAGACCUAACUCAGAGUGACAAUGAGGCAAAGCAGUUGUAGUUCUCUUGGAUCUCUGACUUGUUACUGAUGUUGUCCUUGCUCGUUCCCUAGCUGUUUGCUGUAGUUGCUUGCUGAACCAAGUUAGAUUUUAUGUAUUUUAUCAAAAAAGGCAAAGGUGAGAAGAUAAUUAGCUCAGUUUUUCCUGUGUAAUCCAACAAACAAGGUACCACUUAUUACCAGUGAUCAAGAAAGCUUUUGAUGAAGGGAAGAUGCAAUUUUAAGAAAACUGUUGUGCCAGUAGAUGCCGAAGGUCAGGCACUGCAGGUGAGAAAAUGGUACCUUUUUCCCAGCUGAAAGCAGAGGUAGGGCGAUGGCUUGGGAAACAUCGCUGCACUGGAACGUGCUUUCAUCAUUGGCCGAUGUACCGAGAGCUCCCCCUCCUGUUUCGUUCUACAUCUAAGUGCUUGCGGAUCUCACAGCUCUAAAUCACAAAUUUCUGAUGUCUUCCAUUUUUUUUCUGCAGUAUGACAUACAAGCACACAGAAGACUUUCCAGUGCAGUUAAGUACUUUGCCACAAGCUUAAGUUGUAAGCCUAACCUAAGAGGAUGGGGAGGAGGGAAUGCUGCCCAGGACUUUCAGUAAACACAUUUAUUGAAAGAAAAUGGAACCGAGACAGGAGGAAGGAGGCCACAGUCACAUAAUCUUCCCUCUGUGUGUGAGGGUCUGUUUUCCUGUUCGCCUCUGCUCUACCGUCUUUCACAGCCUUGCAAGCGAUCGAGGCAACCUUUGGAAAGUUGUGGGAACGGCUGGAUUGCAAAACAAAGCUUUGGUGACACGAGAACUCAGCAAAUCGUACUCUGAGCGCCGAGAUUGGUCGCCUGCGAACGAGCACCGAUGUCUGGAAGGAAGCAGGGCCUCAGGAAGGAUACGGACUGAUACUUCAGGCUUGAUAGUCCCCGUGAGUUUCCGGCUCCUUCGUUGCUAUGAAGUAAACAAGAUGCGAAGAUGCCAGUGCAUCCCAGGUGCUGGGAACCUUAAAGUCUCGGACUCUUAAGAAUGAAGGAUCUGCUUUAAAACAACCCUAUUUAAGGAUAAUUUCACUAGUGAAUUGCACAGAAAAAACGUGUUCACGUCCUCUGAAUUGCCUGGCUCUUAGGUGUGUUUCCCAGAGGAAGUGCUAGUACAUCAACUACUACUCUCCUCUUACACAGUUCACCUUUUCCUACAAGUCCAGCCUACCCCCAGGCACUGCAGGCUCACACACAAAAAGGAGUGUUUCUGGAGCCCAGUGCUGUAAGAUUGCAUAAUCGCUCACGCAAUUUAGUCAGCGGGGACAGGAGAAUGAGGCUCCUGCACUGCCGUUGUGUGUAGCAUAUGCAGAGGAGUUAUGGCUAAAUAGCAGCAGCAGCAGCCAAUGAAGCAUCCGUAUUUGCCUGGCCACUCAGAUGGACAAAAAGGAGGAUUUUUUUCCUGCUUCUUCAUGAAUGUAAGCAAUUAUGUCUUGUCUCUGCUGAUUGCUGUGUACAGAUUACAGAUAACUCAGGGCAGAAAACUGUGAGAAGGUAAGAGACUGUGUGAAGCAGAUGGAGGUUGGACUUGAUGAUCUUAGAGGUCUUUUCCAACCUUAAAGAUUCUAUGGUUCUGUGAUUCUAUGAGAAAUAUACUGGAAGGUAGCUUUGGGAGGAUGAGACAGAGGAAAGGGAAAGAGUGAGAUCAUCGCCCUGGAGACUAAAGAGCAACUCAAGACGUCUUCCUAUUAGCCAGGAUUAGGAUGGUAGGGGGAAUGCUCUUACACGUUGCUGAUAAUUUGUCUGCUUUUUUUCGAUACAUAAUAAUCAUCCAUAUUAUUGGAUACAGACUAGGCAAUGAACUUCUCCUGUAGUGUUGAAAGCCAUAAUACAGAUGAUGUAAUGAUGACACUUCUUUUCAACUUUGUGGUUUUUCAUUUAAAGCAAAUGACUGGAAAUAUUGACCCUGGGUAUGCUGGUCCUGACUCCUGAUUUCUGACUGCAUGCUUAUUGAUAUGAGUUCCAGUAUGAUGGAUCAGCCCCAGCCAUUUUUCACAGGGUAUGGUAGCAGUACAUACUGAUUUAAUAAUUACCUUCAGGAAUAAUGUAAUUUACUUCAUAAAAACUUUAAAUUUGUCACAUAGAUUUGCGUACAUUUGACAAGAAAUAUUUUCUAUUUUCAUUUUUAUUCUUGCAUUUAGUCACUCUAAAAGUGCAUUUAGUUGCUUUAAAAGUAUCUCAAGUCACUUCCAGCAAUCUCAAACCUAUACAGAUUAGCAGAACAAUCUCUGCGUGUUACUCAAACUGAAAUUCUUCAUAUUGAGAGUACGUAAUGACAGUACUAAGGCAGUUCAGUUAAUAUUUGACUACUGUCUGUGGUUUUCUUAUCAUAACUAUUUUUCUUGUCACAUGCUUCUAUAAAUCUGGGUAGACAUAUAUACUCUUGUAAAAAUAAAAACAGCACUUUAAAAUCUCUAAAUUAAUAAUCUAAAAUAGAAAAUGUUAUGUAUUCUAUUUUACUUUCCCAAUAUAAUUCCCAGUGAAAGAAAGAAAAUUGAACAGCUUUAUUCCAUGGUAUUCCUGUAUUAUGGGAACAAUAUAUUCUUAAGCACUCCAUGCAUCUGAAAUUUCUCUCGAUGUGGCCCAUUUAUUUUAAUUUGGGUCUGUCAGUGGAAAAAAAGAAGUAAUUAAACUUGUGACUAGCAUGGAGAAACAUUUUAUGUCCUAACACUGUAGCUUGAUACCCAGUAGUUUCUUUAUAUUUCUUCCAGUUGUCAGAUCAAAGUCUCUCAAGUACUAUAACUCAGCCAUGCUUUGAUUAAUUACUUCACACAAUGAAUUUGCAAAUUAUAUUUCUGAAGUGAUUUAUGUACUUUUUAACUUCAAUCGCACACACUCUCCCUUCGUUUUGGUUGUUUGGUUGUUUUUUUCUAUUCCAAUCUUUGUUCACUAAUGUAGUCAGUCCACACCUUGGAAAAAUAUUUGUGAAAAAUAACUGAUAUUAUUUUAUGCUUAACAAAUUGGUAUAAACGGAGGUUGCCAGUAAAGAACAAAAUCUUACCUGAACAGUGCAAUUAAACAGAACUCUAAGAAUCACUUACAUUGCAGUCACCCACCAGCACUCCUAGUCAGGUCUUCAGCCUCAGUGCUUCGUAUAAAUACAUGAAGUCCCUCCCUAAAAAUUCCCAGCUGCAGGUCUUGUCUAGGCUGGGGUUUUGUUCGAGAUAGGGCUACUGGAAUAGCUGAGCUAAGGCAACCUUUAAAAUACAUGUUCAAACCAAACAUUUGGUUACUGUAGUCAGACAUUGGUAAAUAGUAUUUAGAGAAGUAAUAACUUGCCUGCACCAGUGAUGUGCUUGUCUGGGCAAAGUUUAAUAUUUACAUUUGUGGUUUCAUUCUACAGUCUCACAUGGCAUACUGCUGUUCACGUUCAGUCCAUCUGUAGUACAUAGUGGUAUCUAAUGUCUGUUUAGUGGUAUUGUGUUUAUAGGUAUAAAUAUCCAUGCCUUCCCUACAACUUGAUCUGCCAAGCUUCUGAAGGAGUGCUAUGAGGAAAUUUCUCUUGUUACCCCUAUCUGAUACCCUUAGCUCUGAAUGUUUGAACAGGGCACCCAUUCGCAUCCUUUAGAAGUCAUUUUCGUCUAGGUGCUGCUUUGUUUUUUAUCCAGGUGUCAACCAAACAAGGACGUGUGGGUGGAAGUAAAGGAACACUAGUAGGGUCCUGAUUGCAGACAUGUAGCUGGGAUACCAUCCCAAAUGCUCUCAUUCCUUCGCACAGCUGCAAUGUAACUGUUUUGUCCAUCCAUAUAAGAAACCACACUGAGUGAAAUGGGCUGAAAUCUUGCAGAUUGGAACUAUUCAUUCACUCCCUGGCUUCCUUUUGAAGUAUGCUAAUAGCUCUCCAUCAAACAAAACCCAGCUAUGGUUUGGGGGAUAGUUCACUUUGAAAGCCCCUCAUUAUAGGAAAAAUAGACAAGAUUUCAAUAAAUUUGGUUAUUUGAUGCUCCUGGCAAAUUUUGCACUCUCAAACACUCCAAAUGCCUUCACAUCAUGCCCCAGGACCUGCAACAACUUCCUUAGUAUGUGACGCAUAACUGCCAUCUGUGCUGGUGGACUGCAGUGUUGAUCUCACAAUACAUUGAACACUUUGAACUGGAAAAAAACAUGCAAAUAAAAAAAAAUAAAAAAAUUGUGUUCUAGAACCACCACAGUGGGGCAGAGGGGAGACCUGUAGCAAAUGCCAUGCACUGUGGAUGAGGCCAGUCUGGUGGGGACAACCAAGUAAUGCCUAUGAAGGCACGGUGCAGCGCCUGACCCAGAGGUGAACGAUCGCUCCCUGGGAGAGGUGCGUUUACCCAUAUAGAUAUAACACAGUCUGAACAAGCCGUCUAGCCCAGAGUCGUGUCUCCAACGACAGCUAGUAGUGGAGGCAUGAGGUAACAGGUAUGCAUUUUAGUCAAACUUAGAGUGAUACUUCUCCUUGUAUGGCUUCCCUGUCCUAGAUUGCUUGUGAUUUCUACCUUCAAUUUUAAAUAGCUCCAUUAGUUCUGGGUCGGAUCCCGGACACUGGUAGAGACAGGUCUAUUUCCAUUUGUCAGAAAAUAUUUUUCAGAUAAAUUUUCCUAGUGUUUCUGAAAUUCUCUGAUAUUCUAAAAAUCUGUAGCUGUUUCAGAAGACUGAAACCUUUUAUAACUCCUGUGCAAAAGAGUUUCCUAUUAUAUUGAUAUUUUUUCUACUGAAAUGCUAAUUUCACCUAAAAACCGAACUUGGACAACUGAUAAGGAGAGUACAUGUAUAGGAAUACCCUUUACAGACUGCUUGAUUUGGUCACUAAAACAUAAGCAGAGGAAUUGUAAUUUCCUUAGUUUAAAUCUUGCCAUUGCCUCAUUUAAUACUGUGUUCAUGGCACCUGUCAAACUUUACUUUAACAUUAAUAGGGACUCACCUUGUGCGCAGCUGCACAACAUCUUUAUAAGAUAGGGCAUAGCAUUGCCUCCAUUUUUUAAAAAAGCAAACCCAGCUGCCUCAGACCGAAUGGUCAUGGUCAUAAAAAGGAUUCUGCACGUGCGAUACAUUUUCCCAUGACUCUCCCAAAGCGUACAAAAAAUACAGAUCACAAGAUUGUUUCUAUUGCAAGGUCCCAAAUCAAGAAACAAGAAUGUCAGCAAGCUAAGUGCCAGCUUUGCAUGAAAUAAGAGUCAUAGGAGGGAUCCUUAAAAAGUGGAUAGGUUGAUUUUUACAUAGGGACCAUUAUAAAAUCCUCUCUUUACGAAAAGAAAAUUAGUGUCUCCAUCUCUGAGACCAGACAUGAGAAAUCAGUGGACCUAGCAUAGUAAAAAGGCAUUUUAGAAUGCUUAUUAUUAGGAUAUCAAUGUCUCUUGCGUAUUGAAGCAGGACAUCCAAGUGUGAUGUUCUUCAGCCACGUCACAAGUAUGUCAAAAGACUACUAUCAUUGCAGAACAAAUCAAAAUAGAUAAUACAUUCCUGGAAGGACCUCAUAUUUCUUAAAGUAGCAUUCAUUCAUCUUGUGUUUGUUUUUCAGCGUAUCUGUUUUUCAUGCGUAUCUGUGAUGAUCUUUGUAAAGGAGCUGCUGUGAUACAUGAAAUGUACUGCCUUAUAAACAAAAAUGAAAAAGUUCAAAAGUAAUUAUUUCUUUGUAUCUGUUGCUACCUCUGUGUGUGUAAAUUCCUCUCUUGCUUGUUAAAUAUUGUGAAAUCUACCUGAAAAUAUUUUGUUGACAUUUUUCAAUAAUUUAUAUUUUAGCAUUUCAUGUAAUUUAUGUUGUUCUCCCCCUUCAGUUUACAAGUUGUUUCUUAAUAAAGGAAAUAUUAUUAAAAAAAAAGCCAAAACUAAGACAAUAUGCUAACCCCCCCAAAUCUUCAUCUGUAAUUCAUGGUAAUGUUUGAUCUAGAAAAAUAAAACAAUAAUGGCAGAAAAA